AUGGGGAAGCUCUCCUCCGUGGGCAGCAACUUCAUGGCGUCCGCUGGCAGCCGCAGCACCAGCGGCGGGUUUGACGAGGGGGCCAAGUACUUCGACGGCCAGAUCCUCAAGGCGCCCAACCUCCACACCUUCACAUUCAUAGAGCUCAAGACGGCCACCAAGAACUUCCGUCCGGACAGCGUCCUCGGCGAAGGAGGGUUCGGGAGAGUCUACAAAGGGUGGGUGGAUGAGAAGACCAUGGCGCCGACCAGGAACGGCACCGACAUGGUUGUUGCGGUCAAGAAGCUCAACUCAGAGAGCAUGCAGGGGUUUGAGGAAUGGCAGAUGCAGUAUAUGAUCGUCGACGGCGUUUCUAGCUCCUGGUACAUCAAGUUUGAUACAUUUACUCCUGCAGCUGAGCGGGGGCUCCCGGUCACAAGGGUCAUUAGUCGCAUGACGCUGCAACAGAUCCUUGCUCGAGCAGUUGGGUAUGACGCUAUAUUGAAUGGAAGCCAUGUAGUCAAUUUUACAGAUGAUGGCAGUAAGUGCUUCUUCGGCUGA